rnacentral:lncRNA from 1 species
GUGCUGAGGGAUGCAGGAUGCAUGUGGUACAGUUGGGCUCUGCAAAUGAAACCUAGAGAUGAAGGGACACAGGAUGCGUGUGGUGCAGAGCAACUCGGGAUGCACGCGAUGCAGUCCGGCCCUGCAAGACGAACCCAGCAAUGCAGGAUGCAUGGGGUGCAGAGGGAUGCAGGGUGCAGAGAGGUGCAGGAUGCGUGCAGUGCAGUCAGGCCCUGCAAAUCAAACCCCAAUCUCUUUGUUCAUUCUCCAUCCAGGGGACACCUGAGCCGAUGGCACAGCUCCUGCUGCAGCCAGGAUGCAACCCCUGGGACUCGCAGCCUGGUGCUCUGUGGGAAAGGGCAGCCCUGGAGCUAUAAGGAGCAGCAGCCCGACAUGCCACCAGCACUGUGCAGCUCUGCUUUUCCCACAGAGCACCAGGACCAGCCUGCUGCAUUCCUGGAAUGCUAUUUUAUCCCCAGCACGAUUUACAAAAGAGCCUGGCGAUGGCGGAGGGGCUCGGCGGUGACCUUGUUUAUAUUGCGGGAGCGAUAG